rnacentral:lncRNA from 1 species
UUAUUAUCACCGUAUCGGUUGUCUUUGUCCGCUUGUAUUUUUCAGUUUUAUGUGCUAUGACUUGCUCCGUUUGUGAGCGGUAAGACCUUUAUGAUGAUACUUUCUAGAUUUUUAAUAAAAGGGCCGCAUGCAUCAUCAUGAUGCAGAGGCCGGGGGUAUACCUCCAUUUCCAAAAAAAGAGAUGAUUGCCAUUCAUUUGCUUAUUUUUUCACAAAGUUUGUUUUUCUCAUAACAUUUAAGUAUCCACACUGCCAAUGUUCAUAUUGCUAAGUGCUAACACUGGCCUUUGUUAAACACCGGAUGUUAAACACCGGAUAUUUUGCAUACGCAUAACUUGGUUAUAUCUCUAGGAGGUUAGCUAGUCUAUUAGGAUAGUUGUACGGUUUAACUUGUUGUAAUCCCGUAGCACAACUACCUGCGCCUUAUUUCCUCCUCUCUUGUUCUCCAAGUUGUACUCAACCGAUGUAUGCAUAUCCAGGGUUGGCCCCUGCUAUAUAAACACGCACCCGUUGCCUCUAACAAGGUAAGAUGCUUCGAGCAAUCUUCACAUGGUAAUCAGAGCCUACUUCUUCCAUUACAUCUAGCUUCACAAUAUCAUCACCACCAACCGCUCCACCAUGUCAUCCUCCUCCGCCGCACCCAUGUCCAGCAUCAAUGGGCAGGUCACGGAGAAGCUCACGAGGACGAACUAUGUCCUCUGGCGUGCACAGAUCACGCCACAACUCAUCGGCGCCGGUCUCUUCGGCUAUGCCGAUGGAACCACCCCGGAGCCAGAGAAGACCAUCAUCACCAAGAACAAGGAAGGGAAAGAUGAAUCUGUCCCGAACCCUCCACAUCAUUAUUGGGUCAGGGAGGAUCAACAGGUACUUGGGCACCUCCUGAUUAACUUAUCUCGAGAAGUUCUUGUCCAGGUCACCUCCAUCCGCAAGGCGCACGAGCUCUGGACUGCCCUUGGGAACAUGUUCUCAUCGCAGUCCAGGUCGCGUGUGAAUAACAUCCGCAUCGCCCUCUCCAACGCACAGAAGGGGACACAAUCUGUGGGUACCUACUUCGCCCACAUGUGUUCCCUCGCCGACGAACUAGCUGCUGCUGGCAAGCCGCUGGACGAGGAUGAGGUGGUCUCCUACAUCAUCGGCAGGCUGGACAUGGAGUAUCAGCUGUUGAUGUCGGCCCUUGAUGCCCGCACCGAGCCGGUCACCCUCGAAGAUCUGUUCGCUUAGAUGAGCAACUUUGAUCAGAGGGCGGUGCUAUUCCACAACGCCGCUGGGUUCAAGUCGUCCGCCAACGUCGCCUCCCGUGGUGGCCGUGAUGGGUCUCGCUACCGCGGCCCGCAGAGGAACAAGGGCAAGCCCGGCGGCAACAGCAGCAACACCAACACUCAGCGCUCCAGCGGCGGCGGUCGUCCCUCCUACACCAACAACAGGGGCCACCGCAACUCCUCCAAAACCUCCCGUCCAGAUGCCAUCCGAUGCCAAAUCUGUGGUAAACCAGGUCACUCUGCUAAAGAUUGCUGGUACAGGUACGAUGAGGAUGAAGGCGACUCCUCUCAGGACGAGAAGAUAGCAGGGGCAGCUGAAGGAUCCUACGGUGUCGACACAAACUGGUAUGUCGACAGCGGUGCAACCAAUCACAUCACGGGUGAACUCAAAAAGGUCACUAUGAGAGAGAAGUACCGCGGCCAAGAUCAAAUUCACGCCGCCAACGGAUCAGGUAUGAGGAUUAAACACAUUGGUCAUUCAGUUAUUAAAACCCCACACAAAAACAUUCAUCUCCGAAGAAUCUUGCAUGUCCCUAGUGCCUCCAUUAAUCUUCUUUCCAUUCAUCGUAUUGCCCUUGACAAUCAUGUAUUCCUCAAGUUUCACCCUUUCUUCUUUUUAGUUAAGGAUCAGGCAACGAAGAGGGUUUUGUACCGAGGUAGAUGCGUUCGAGGGCUUUACCCGUUGAUUCCCAAGUUUAGAAGAUUCAAUAAGCAAGCAUAUGGUGUCGCCAAGCUUACUUCAACUCGGUGGCACGAUCGAUUAGGGCAUGCAUUUUUUUCUUUAGUUGAACGAGUGCUUAGGAAAAGUAAGCUCCCAUAUGUGGAUGAGCGUCAUGUUGAAACCAUUUGUGAUUCAUGUCAGCAUGCUAAGAGUCAUCAAUUACCUUAUCCUAUUUCUACAAGUAUUUCUACCAAGCCAUUGCAACUCAUUUUUUCCGAUGUUUAGGGUCCUGCCCCUAGUUCUGUUGGUAGACAUACAUACUACGUAAGUUUCAUAGAUGACUUCAGUAAAUACUCCUGGAUCUAUCUUCUUAAGAAAAGAUCCGAUGUGUUCCAAGUCUUCAAAAACUUUCAAGCACUCAUUGAACGAAAAUUUGAUACCAAAAUCAUUGCUCUCCAAUCCGAUUGGGGAGGGGAAUACGAAAAAUUAAAUUCGUUUUUCCAAACACUUGGUAUCUCUCACCAUGUGUCCUGUCCUCACGCCCACCAACAAAACGGGUUGGCCGAAAGAAAACAUAGACACAUUGUUGAGGUCGGCCUGGCUCUUCUAGCCGGUGCCUCCAUGCCUCUCAAGUUUUGGGAUGAGGCCUUUCUUGCUGCUGUUCACAUCAUUAAUAUGCUACCAAGUCGUGUCAUCAACAACGAAACUCCAAUGGAACGUCUCCUUCACACUAAACCUGAUUAUACAUCUCUCCGUGUGUUUGGCUGCGCAUGUUGGCCAAACCUAAGGCCCUAUAACAAACGUAAGCUUAUGUUUCGAUCAAAGCAAUGUGUUUUCCUUGGUUAUAGUGCCCAGCAUAAGGGUGUGAACUGCCUUGACGUGCCUACCGGACGUGUCUAUAUAUCUCGUGAUGUAGUCUUUGAUGAAACAAAAUUUCCAUUCACUGAUUUACAUCCUAAUGCCGGUGCUCUUCUUCGGAAAGAGAUUCUGCUUUUGCCUUCUAAUCUAACCGGCUUUGAUCAAGGGGGAAAUAACUUGGAUGAUCAACUGUUGCUUAACCCUCAUAAUAUUGCUCCUGAGUUUUGUGAUGAUGCAGCUGCACGCAGCAAAGAAAUUUGAUGGAAAAUGCUGAAGAAAUUCGCUCAACAGGGCAACAAUUCAUGUGUCUCCAACCAGGGGGCAAAUCUCCCUCGAGAUCUGUGGCACAACAGCCGAGAGAAUCCUCCGCGGGAUCCGUUCCGCAGCAGACAGGUGCGGGACCCGCAUGGACAGACGAGCCAGCAGAUUCCUCCACAGGCGGUCUCCACUCAUCGCCCGUCACGGCGUCGCCUGUCGCCCCGCCGGUCGGAGGAGUCUGGCCCGCACCAAUCUGCGGGUGACACGCGGCAGCCUGCUACGGGGCCCGAGCGUGUGCGGUUCUUGGAUACUGUGCGCGUCUACACGCCCCGCCUGCGUCAGACGGGCGCGGACUCCAGUGCGGCCCUGCAUGGCCCAGGCGCGGACUCUGGGGCAGAUCUGCAUGGCCCCACGUCAUCAUUGGUGCAUGAUGCGCCGCCGGGAUCUUCUGCGCCAUCUGCCUCGCCAUCAACUCAGCACACGGCCGCAGAGGAUCCGGCUGACACAUCAGCCAGAGAAUCUCCCUUGGGAUCGCCCGCUGGUGCAGCUCCUAAGCAGGCGCGAUCUUCUGCGGAAACUGAUUCUGCUGCUGCUUCACCACCUUGUACACGUCUUAAAAAAGGUGUAAUUAAACAUGUCAAUUAUAAGCAUAUACUCAAGUUUGGACUAGCAUGUUCUACAGGAGAACCGCAUACGCUUGAGGAAGCUCUUGGUGAUGCAAGGUGGAAAAAGGCCAUGGAUGAAGAGUACAUGGCACUUCAGAGAAAUAAGACGUGGCACCUCGUUCCCCCACAGCAAGGUAAAAAUUUGAUUGACUGCAAAUGGGUAUUCAGAAUCAAGAGAAAAUCUGAUGGAACUAUAGAUAGGUACAAAGCUAGACUUGUUGCUAAAGGCUUUAAACAACAUUAUGGCAUAGAUUAUGAGGACACCUUCAGUCCGGUUGUAAAAGCUGCAACGAUUCGCCUUGUCUUGUCAAUUGCUGUUUCCAGGGGAUGGAGCCUUCGUCAGCUGGAUGUACAUAAUGCGUUCCUUCAUGGCGUUCUGGAAGAAGAAGUUUACAUGAAACAACCUCCUGGUUUUGAGGACAAGAAUGCACCAUUUCAUGUAUGCAGACUUGACAAAGCUUUGUAUGGUUUGAAGCAAGCUCCCAGAGCAUGGUAUUCCCGUCUCAGUCAGAAAUUGCAGGCUCUUGGUUUCGUUCCUUCAAAAUCUGACACCUCAUUGUUCAUUUACAAUAAGUCAAAUACAUCUAUAUUUGUGCUUAUUUAUGUUGAUGAUAUAAUUGUUACUAGCUCAUCCAAUGAGGCCAUAACAGCAUUGCUGAAGGAUUUAAAUUCAGAGUUUGCUCUCAAGGAUUUAGGAGACUUGCAUUUUUUCCUAGGAAUUGAAGUAAAGAAACAUGAGGAUGGGCUUCAUCUUUCACAGGAAAAGUAUGCAACUGAUCUGGUAAGAAGAGUUGGAUUGCAAGGAUGCAAACCGUCACUAACUCCUCUCUCCAGCACAGAAAAAUUAUCUCUCACAGAAGGAGAACUUUUGAGUCAAGAGGAUGGCACAAAAUACAGAAGUCUAGUAGGUGCUCUUCGGUACUUAACUCUCACUAGACCUAAUUUAUCUUUUGCUGUUAACAAGGUAUGUCAGUUUCUUCAUGCACCUACUACAGUUCAUUGGACUGCUGCAAAGCGCAUAGUGAGAUAUGUGAAAAAUACCAUGAAUGUUGGUCUGAACUUCACCAAGUCAUCAUCCACACUAGUCAGUGCAUUUUCUGAUUCUGAUUGGGCCGGAUGUGUUGAUGACAGACGUUCCACUGGUGGGUUUGCUAUAUUUUUUGGACCGAACUUAAUAUCAUGGUGUGCAAAGAAACAGGCUACAGUCUCUAGAUCAAGCACAGAGGCAGAAUACAAGGCGUUGGCAAAUGCAACAACAGAGAUUAUUUGGGUUCAAUCACUGAUGAGAGAACUUGGUGUCAGAAGCACUCAAACUCCAUGCUUAUGGUGUGACAACCUUGGUGCAACAUACUUGUCUGCAAAUCCUGUUUUUCAUGCUAGAACAAAGCAUAUUGAGAUAGACUUUCAUUUUGUCAGAGAGAGAGUUGCAAGCAGAAAAUUGGAGAUUCGGUUUGUGCAUUCUCGAGAUCAAGUUGCAGACGGGUUCACCAAGGCAUUGCCUACAAAGAGUUUUGAAGAGUUUAAACGUAAUCUCAACUUGACAAAGUUGUGAUUAAGGGAGGAUGUUAAACACCGGAUGUUUUGCAUAUGCAUAACUUGGUUAUAUCUCUAGGAGGUUAGCUAGUCUGUUAGGAUAGUUGUACGGUUUAACUUGUUGUAAUCCCGUAGCACAACUACCUGCGCCUUAUCU